rnacentral:rRNA from 1 species
GACGAACGCUGGCGGCGUGCUUAACGCAUGCAAGUCGAACGGAAAGGCCCUGCUUUUGUGGGGUGCUCGAGUGGCGAACGGGUGAGUAACACGUGAGUAACCUGCCCUUGACUUUGGGAUAACUUCAGGAAACUGGGGCUAAUACCGGAUAGGAGCUCCUGCUGCAUGGUGGGGGUUGGAAAGUUUCGGCGGUUGGGGAUGGACUCGCGGCUUAUCAGCUUGUUGGUGGGGUAGUGGCUUACCAAGGCUUUGACGGGUGGCCGGCCUGAGAGGGUGACCGGCCACAUUGGGACUGAGGUACGGCCCAGAAUCCUACGGGAGGCAGGAGUGGGGAAUAUUGCAACAUGGGCGGAAGCCUGAUGCAGCAACGCCGCGUGCGGGAUGACGGCCUUCGGGUUGUAAACCGCUUUCGCCUGUGACGAAGCGUGAGUGACGGUAAUGGGUAAAGAAGCACCGGCUAACUACGUG